rnacentral:rRNA from 1 species
GGGAUUGCCCUAGUAACGGCGAGUGAAGCGGCAACAGCUCAAAUUUGAAAUCUGGCCCUUGCGGUCCGAAUUGUAAUUUGUAGAGGAUGCUUUUGGUGCGGUGCCUUCUGAGUUCCCUGGAACGGGACGCCAGAGAGGGUGAGAGCCCCGUACGGUUGGACACCUAGCCUAUAUAUAGCUCCUUCGACGAGUCGAGUAGUUUGGGAAUGCUGCUCUAAAUGGGAGGUAAAUUUCUUCUAAAGCUAAAUACCGGCCAGAGACCGAUAGCGCACAAGUAGAGUGAUCGAAAGAUGAAAAGCACUUUGAAAAGAGGGUUAAAUAGCACGUGAAAUUGUUGAAAGGGAAGCGUUUGCGACCAGACUUUUUCCAGGCGGAUCAUCCGGUGUUCUCACCGGUGCACUUCGUCUGGUUUAGGCCAGCAUCGGUUUUCUUAGGGGGAUAAAGGCUUGGGGAACGUAGCUCUUUCGGGAGUGUUAUAGCCCCUUGCGUAAUACCCCUCGGGGGACCGAGGAACGCGCUCUGCAAGGAUGCUGGCGUAAUGGUCGUCAACGACCCGUCUUGAAACACGGACCAAGGAGUCGAACAUUUGUGCGAGUGUUUGGGUGUUAAACCCUCACGCGUAAUGAAAGUGAACGGAGGUGAGAGCCUUAGGGUGCAUCAUCGACCGAUCCUGAUGUCUUCGGAUGGAUUUGAGUAAGAGCAUAACUGUUCGGACCCGAAAGAUGGUGAACUAUGCGUGGAUAGGGUGAAGCCAGAGGAAACUCUGGUGGAGGCUCGCAGCGGUUCUGACGUGCAAAUCGAUCGUCAAAUCUGCGCAUGGGGGCGAAAGACUUAUCGAACCAUUAAAAACCAGCGGUAAAUUUGAUUUACUAGGUGGUUAAGAGGGGCCCCGCGAGGGGUACUACCCUAGAGUCUGGGAGGACCUACCCUAUAGCUACCCUGUAGCCUUAGGGUAACCCCCUCCCGACCGACACCGCUAAAUUGCGGGGACGUCCUAUUAGAAGGUCGCAAGCUACCGCCGGGCGCUGAAAAGCGUGCCCGGCACCAAGAAUAGCGCUCUUGGGUAUGGUAAAAACGCUUGCGAUAGCGGAUGACCUGCAGCCAACCCCGUCGUAGGGGAGAGUUCACUGACUAAACAGCGGUGGGUCGGCGUUCGUUACGUGACGUCGGCCUAAGACAUAGUCGAUCCAGGCCCUGAAAAGG